CUGGGGAACUGGAAAUGUCAGACAUCAAAUGUCACACAAGCCUGCGUGGUGGAAUUUCGUUAAGCUCUAGGCAUUUCAAACAAGGCCUGCAAUAGUGGAUUGUCCUUUAAAGACUGGGGUCAAAAUUGUCCCUUUGGGGAAGGAGAUUCUCGGCACCCAGGUAAUCCUGCGCUCUGUAGACAGCUAUCAAUGCACAGAGGAUUUGACCUUUGGUACUACGUUUCAUUGGUUUUAAAAUACAACAGAC